AAACAGCAGUUUGCAGGGCUGCAAAAUGGGAGCUACAUUACUAGAAGCAGCUAACAGACAGCAGCAUUGCAGAGAGCUCACAGAGCUCAGAGGCACCUGAACACAAGAAAUUCCUGCCCAGGACAGCCUUCCAUCUCCCUACUCUCCUGUGAAAUAUGAAACAUCAUAAUCAGAAAGAAAUAUAAUUCUACAUCCUGCUUGCCACCAGACAACUUCAAGAGGCACCUGGAAGCAGGAAAAGGAAGUGACGAGCAACCCUGCAGAGUCCUGCUGCUGUAAUUCUGGACUGUGAAUCCCAGAGACCUUGGGGCAGCAGGAAGAGGAAGCCAACACACAGCCAGAGAGCCAUACGCUAGUGCCUGCCCCCCGGUGUCUGGCCUGAGCCACUGCAAGCAUGUGGCUACAUUUCCUGAAUCAAAGAAAGAACAUGUCUGUGUCUGACAGCCAUGCAUCCUUCAAUUAAUUAUAAAAAUGAAAUCCACAGACUGGAUGUAAAAUCAUCAUUACCAUCUCAGACAGACUGAGCUAAGGCAUUGCUGCAAGUGAGAUUGAAAUAGAAAUCAACAUGAAGACCACCUCUGAAUGUUUCUGCCUAGGGAAAACUCCAGCAAAUACAAGUGUUCAUGUAUCUAUUCCAAACCACACGUCUGAUAAAAUGUAACAGGGCUUAAAUCUAAUGGCACUGUAACAGGGGGCCCUUCUUGGGGACGAUUUACCUUUGGCCCGCCCACCUGUUCUGGGCCAACUGCCCACCUUCUCUCCUGCCAUGCCCUGAUGUUAAUUAAUUACUGAUCUUAAUAAGAGGAGGAUGCCCAUUUCUUGCCCCGAUGCCAGGGGGCGCUAUCUACAGCUCCAUACCUUCCCUAUCCAGCCCAAGCCUUGCAGAUGGCAUCCUCUUUUGUCAACAUCACCGGCCCCACUCUGGGCCCCAGAAUCCUAUUUGAACCCCACCUGGAUCCCUCCAUUUAGGUGGCCUAUUCUGCCUUCAUUCUAGGCUGCAUAGCUCCCUGAGCUGCUUCCCCCUUAUAGGUGUGGUCUCCCCGGGACCUUUGGCUACACUGGCCCUGGCCCCACCUCCAGGCCAGUCAGAACCCCAGGCCCUCAGCUCUGGACGUCCCUCAUGGUGGGCCCCGGGCCCUUCAACCCUUCCGGUCCUGGCUCCAGCAUUGACCAGUCGGGGGAUGUCAAGACAGGUUUCUGAGUCUAUGGCCUUACUCUCUCACUGGGGUCCACCUUCCAGACCCUACAAGGGGGUAACUCACCCGGUUGUGGGAGCUGGAGUUAAGGUGCCACAACCCGCCUUUCGCCGGGGUGGUAACUGGUCUGGCAUUUCCUGGGGGCUCCCGUGCCACUGAGAGCCCCACCAGGCCACCCACUCCCAGCAGGUCAGUUUUAGGUCAUGCCCAGGACCAGGAGCCUCCUGACCAACCCCUACAGCUCCUACCUUACCUCCAGAGUGUUCCAUGAAGUCUCGCAGCCGGGUGAUGUUGCUGCACCUCCAGCCAGCAGCAAAAUACCCUGUUUAUAUGGGUGGCCAGAGCUCUAAAAUGGCCGCUGCAAUUAAGCACCUGCUGGCUGCUCGGCCCCAGGUCUUAAAGUGACAGGCACAAAUAGUGGCCUGCCACAGGCACCAAAACACCAUAUGUUGAGACAUCAGCAGCCAAAGUAAGGGCAACAAUGUGGUCAUAACUAUAUGAUACAGCACUACUGAUAAGUUGUAUUUGACAAGUUGCAAGCUUGUUAUGGCAGCAUAGGUAUGUUUAGUAGGGGUGUGCAAAGUGGGCCCCAUUCAAUUCAGAUUCGGCCUGAAUUGGGGACAGUGCUUCAAUUAGUUUCAUAGAUUCAUAGAUUCAUAGAUGUUAGGGUCGGAAGGGACCUCAAUAGAUCAUCGAGUCUGACCCCCUGCAUAAGCAGGAAAGAGAGUGCUGGGUCUAGAUGACCCCAGCUAGAUGCUCAUCUAACCUCCUCUUGAAGACCCCCAGGGUAGGGGAGAGCACCACCUCCCUUGGGAGCCCGUUCCAGACCCUGGCCACUCGAACUGUGAAGAAGUUCUUCCUAAUGUCCAAUCUAAAUCUGCUCUCUGCUAGCUUGUGGCCAUUAUUUCUUGUAACCCCCGGGGGUGCCUUGGUGAAUAAAUACUCACCAAUUCCCUUCUGUGCCCCCGUGAUGAAUUUAUAGGCAGCCACAAGGUCGCCUCUCAACCUUCUCUUGCAGAGGCUGGAUCACUGUCCCUGAUUUGACUCGGCCAAACCCAAAUCCUAAGAUUCGAUGCUAAUUCAGAGGAUCAGCGAUUCGGCCAUAGAUACAGCUUUAAAUGUUUUUUCUACAUCCCUUGAGGUACCAGUGC